GAAAUGCGAUAAGUAAUGUGAAUUGCAGAAUUCAGUGAAUCAUCGAAUCUUUGAACGCACCUUGCGCUCCUUGGUAUUCCUUGGAGCAUGCCUGUUUGAGUAUCAUGAAAUCUUCAAAGUAAAUCUUUUGUUAACUCAAUUGGUUUCUACUUUGGUAUUGGAGGUCUUUGCAGCUUCACACCUGCUCCUCUUUGUUCAUUAGCUGGAUCUCGGUGUUAUGCUUGGUUCCACUCGGCGUGAUAAGUUAUCUAUCGCUGAGGACACUGUAAAAGGUGGCCAAGGUAAAUGCAGAUGAACCGCUUCUAAUAGUCCAUUGACUUGGACAAUACUUUUAUGAUCUGAUCUCAAAUCAGGUAGGACUACCCGCCGAACUUAAGC
rnacentral:misc_RNA from 1 species